rnacentral:rRNA from 1 species
GAUGAACGCUAGCGGCAGGCCUAAUACAUGCAAGUCGAACGGAUAUAUGUUUUUCGGAAUAUAUAUUAGUGGCGCACGGGUGAGUAACACGUACAUAACUUGCCCUCAAGCGGGGGAUAGCCUUGGGAAACUGAGAGUAAUACCCCAUAGAAUUAUUGGACGGCAUCGUUUGAUAAUUAAAACUACGGUGUUUGGGGAUAGAUGUGCGUCUGAUUAGCUAGUUGGUGAGGUAACUGCUCACCAAGGCGACGAUCAGUAGGGGGCGUGAGAGCGUGGCCCCCCACACGGGUACUGAGACACGGACCCGACUCCUACGGGAGGCAGCAGUAAGGAAUAUUGGUCAAUGGAGGGAACUCUGAACCAGCCAUGCCGCGUGAAGGAUGACGGCCCUCUGGGUUGUAAACUUCUUUUGGAUGGGGACGAAAAAACGGGAUUUAUCCUGGACUGACGGUACCAUCAGAAUAAGCACCGGCUAACUCCGUG